GUCUAUGGCCGUACCACCCUGAACGCACCUGAUCUCAUCUCUUCCAGGAAGCUAAGCAAGAUCAGGCCCGGUUAGCACUUGGGUGGGAGACGGCCUGGGGAUACUGUGUGCUUAAAAA
rnacentral:rRNA from 1 species